rnacentral:rRNA from 1 species
UUUAUAUCCAGGGCUACACACACGCUACAAUGGCCGGUACAAUGGGUCGCCAACCCGCGGAGGGGGAGCCAACUACCAACUAAAGCCGGUCUCAGUUCGGAUUGCAGGCUGCAACCCGCCUGCAUGAAGUCGGAGUUGCUAGUAACCGCGCGUCAGCACAGUGCGGUGAAUACGUUCCCGGGCCUU